rnacentral:rRNA from 1 species
AGUGAACGCUGGCGGUAGGCCUAACACAUGCAAGUCGAACGGCAGCACAGUAAGAGCUUGCUCUUACGGGUGGCGAGUGGCGGACGGGUGAGGAAUACAUCGGAAUCUACUUUUUCGUGGGGGAUAACGUAGGGAAACUUACGCUAAUACCGCAUACGACCUACGGGUGAAAGCAGGGGAUCUUCGGACCUUGCGCGAUUGAAUGAGCCGAUGUCGGAUUAGCUAGUUGGCGGGGUAAAGGCCCACCAAGGCGACGAUCCGUAGCUGGUCUGAGAGGAUGAUCAGCCACACUGGCACUGAGACACGGUCCAGACUCCUACGGGAGGCAGCAGUGGGGAAUAUCGGACAAUGGGCGCAAGCCUGAUCCAGCCAUACCGCGUGGGUGAAGAAGGCCUUCGGGUUGUAAAGCCCUUUUGUUGGGAAAGAAAAGCAGCAGGUUAAUACCCCGCUGUUCUGACGGUACCCAAAGAAUAAGCACCGGCUAACUUCGUG